GCGGGUUUGCUAAAUAAUAGCGACUCUCCCGUAGAUUGUGUUCUAACCAAUCGAUUGUGCAUCCUACUAAUGUCUUAUACCGCUGCAUCAGUUGACAUGCCGAUAACUGCCCUUGAAAUCGUUUUUACCCACCCUUUGAAAGUAUUCUGAUUGAAUCGACAAGCCGAACUCGAAAAACCUGCAUCUGAAGGACAACCCAUGAGGAUACCGCGGGGGAUUCAAACAUUUCGAAAGAGAAGUUUUUCAUCCUCCUUAAAUUACAAAGCCAAAGCUGUGUAGAGAAAUUGACACCCCAUUUUUUCAAGAACAUAAGUUAAAAUGUGGAAUUUCGACCUCGAACACUGCUCUGCUUUGUCUACCUCCAAGCCGACUAUAUAACUUGAUGAAACAGUAGUGCAUGCAAUGGUGACCGAUAUAUUGCACAUAAGGUAUUAUACUCUCUUCAAAUUUCAACGAGAAAAAAAUCCAUUGAAACCCACCAUGCAGUUGGUUCGAUUUUGAAAAAUAAGUUUGUUUUCAUUAUACCGAAAAGAUAGCAAUUUCCAUCUCAGUGACCGGAAACAGUCUGAACAGGUUAAAUCGUAAAAUUUGAAAAUGCUGACUUAUAAGAAUUACAUAAUAAAAACCCAAUGCAAAACGAAAAAGCGCUUGCAGCUCAGAUAGAAGGUGAUCAAGCAGCAUGUCGUUAUUAUUACGAAUAACAGAAAAGAAAAAAUAAAAGUUUCUGAUGGAAUUAAUUGUUUGCAGUUUUAAUUAACGCCUAUUCAAGUGCUUAUUAUUGCUGACCAAGUGCCAAAAGAAAGAUUUUCCGUCAAAAAUUGUAGCAGGAGACGGAAAAUAAUAAUUUCUCUUGGAAAAAUUAACGACUGGAUCUCGAACAAUCUCCAACAUCCAUAUCCCAACAAAAUACAUCACAUAACGUAGGUUCUAUUUUGCAUCUAUAAUGGAUUCUUGGAUAUCGACUACAGUCGAUAAUUGAACAUACUGAGCAACGUAUUUGAUGAUAAGCAGUCAUUCAUUUGGCUGGGGAGCUGAAAAGUUAUGGUGUUUCAUAAUAAUGUUCAAGCUUAUGUUACUUGCGCGACUGAGAAAAGAAGUUUAAUUUUGGACUGGGUGGGGGUUAUGGACGCACCUUAUUCACCGGACUUUUAGCCCUUUCUCAUUACCAUCCGAUUCAUAUAGUAUGUCUUGGCGUUUAUGACUUUAUGCCCUCAAAAUCUGCACAUUUUUUUCACAAUCGUAUUCAUGUGUGACACAGCCGUGGCAGCGCAACAUCAGUAAAAAUGAUAUUUCUAAGAAAAUACUAUCAACUACUCUAAAAAUAAGUGUAAUACUGAUUAUUAGGAGGCAUUUUGCUGUUGACGGUGUCUUGG